GGGAGUAGCAAAUAUUCAGAUGAGAACUUUAAAGGCUGAAGUGCUGAAGGGUUCCAUGUGAACAGCAGUUGAACAUGGGUUAGUCCUGAGAGAUCGGCAAGCGUUGUUCAGAAGGGAUAGGCAAUUGCCCUCAGCCAAUUAAAAGGGAGUCAGUUGGAUUCAGAUCCCCAAUCCAGAGUGGCGGAGAUGGGCUCCAGGAGGUGUCCAGUUUAAUAAUGCAACCAAUCCCCGAGAGGCUGAUGGGAGCCAGUGGGGUGCGGGGGAGUUCUCUUAGUUCUCUUUUCUUUGCCAAGGGCAGGGCACCCUGGAAUGGGUUUGCCUGAAGAGAGGGGCCUGUGCCUUAGAAAACAUUGUUGUUCCCUGGGGAGAGGUUGUAAAUCUCCUGCUGCACUGUACCCAUAUCCUCAGCAUGUCUCCAAGGCGUACAGUGUCUGACA
rnacentral:ncRNA from 1 species